rnacentral:rRNA from 1 species
UAGCGCCUACGGGGGGCAGCAGUGAGGAAUAUUGGUCAAUGGGAGGAAUCCUGAACCAGCCAUGCCGCGUGCAGGACGACGGCUCUACGAGUUGUAAACUGCUUUUGUACCGGGGUAAAAUGCCUUACGAGUAGGGUUUUGAAAGUACGGUACGAAUAAGGAUCGGCUAACUCCGUGCCAGCAGCCGCGGUAAUACGGAGGAUGCGAGCGUUAUCCGGAUUUAUUGGGUUUAAAGGGUGCGCAGGCGGAGGUGCAAGUCAGCGGUCAAAUUGCGGGGCUCAACCCCGUACUGCCGUUGAAACUGC